rnacentral:rRNA from 1 species
AGUGAACGCUGGCGGUAGGCCUAACACAUGCAAGUCGAACGGCAGCACAGUAAGAGCUUGCUCUUACGGGUGGCGAGUGGCGGACGGGUGAGGAAUACAUCGGAAUCUACUUUUUCGUGGGGGAUAACGUAGGGAAACUUACGCUAAUACCGCAUACGACCUACGGGUGAAAGCAGGGGAUCUUCUGACCUUGCGCGAUUGAAUGAGCCGAUGUCGGAUUAGCUAGUUGGCGGGGUGAAGGCCCACCAAGGCGACGAUCCGUAGCUGGUCUGAGAGGAUGAUCAGCCACACUGGAACUGAGACACGGUCCAGACUCCUGCGGGAGGCAGCAGUGGGGAAUAUUGGACAAUGGGCGGAAGCAUGAUCCAGCCAUACCGCGUGGGUGAAGAAGGCCUUCGGGUUGUAAAGCCCUUUUGUUGGGAAAGAAAAGCAGCAGGUUAAUACCCCGCUGUUCUGACGGUACCCAAAGAAUAAGCACCGGCUAACUUCGUG